rnacentral:rRNA from 1 species
ACGAACGCUGGCGGCGUGCUUAACACAUGCAAGUCGAACGGAAAGGCCCCUUUGGGGGUACUCGCGUGGCGACCGGGUGAGUAACACGUGAGUAACCUGCCCUUGACUUCGGGAUAACUUCAGGAAACUGGGGCUAAUACCGGAUAGGAAUCCUUGCUGCAUGGUUGGGGUUGGAAAGCUUCGUCGGUUUUGGAUGGACUCGCGGCUUAUCAGCCUGUUGGUGGGGUAGUGGAUUCCCAAGGCUUUGACGGGUAGCCGGCCUGAGAGGGCGGACGGCCACAUUGGGACUGAGAAUCGGCCCAGACUCCUACGGGAGGCAGCGGAGGGGAAUAUUGCACAAUGGGCGUAAGCCUGAUGCAGCAACGCCGCGGGCGGGAUGACGGCCUUCGGGUUGUAAACCGCUUUCAGCAGGGGCGAAGCUUGUGGUGACGGUACCUGCAGAAGAAGCACCGGCUAACUACGUG